UUAGAUCACCGAAGUCAAGCAUCAUUGGGCGCGGUCAGUACUUGGGUGGGUGACCACCUGGGAACACCACGUGCCGUU